rnacentral:misc_RNA from 1 species
AAGUCGUAACAAGGUAACCGUAGGUGAACCUGCGGUUGGAUCAUUAACAAAUUGCGUUAAACAACGCAUUUAACCUUAUGUGAACUGUAACUGUCUUUGGCGGGUGUGUGUUUUCGCAUUUCUGAAUCUUGGAGGUGUAGCCGGGUACUUUUUGGAAUUACGAGUUUCGUAUUUUCAAAACCAGCUUAACUGAAGAGAAUUCAGAAAGGUAAAACCGCCUCCUUUUGAUGAUUUCAAAAGAGGGCCGCCCGCCAAAAGGAAAAGAAGAUCUCUCUUCUGCUCCAUGACAAACAUUUGUAUCUCAACUAUCUUGUCUUAAAAUUUAAUUGUUGAUCUAUCUAUGCAUUUUAUUUAAAAUGUUUUAGAAAAACAAAUACAAUAAUUGACAAAACAACUUUUGGCAACGGAUCUCUUGGUUCUG